rnacentral:rRNA from 1 species
GCCGGCGACCGGCGCACGGGUGAGUAACACGUAUCCAACCUGCCCUUUACUCGGGGAUAGCCUUUCGAAAGAAAGAUUAAUACCCGAUGGCAUAAUGAUUCCGCAUGGUUUCAUUAUUAAAGGAUUCCGGUAAAGGAUGGGGAUGCGUUCCAUUAGGUUGUUGGUGAGGUAACGGCCCACCAAGCCUUCGAUGGAUAGGGGUUCUGAGAGGAAGGUCCCCCACAUUGGAACUGAGACACGGUCCAAACUCCUACGGGAGGCAGCAUG